CUACGGGACGCUGCAGUGGGGAAUCUUAGACAAUGGGCGCAAGCCUGAUCUAGCCAUGCCGCGUGAGUGAUGAAGGCCCUAGGGUCGUAAAGCUCUUUCGCCAGGGAUGAUAAUGACACUACCUGGUAAAGAAACCCCGGCUAACUCCGUGCCAGCAGCCGCGGUAAUACGGAGGGGGUUAGCGUUGUUCGGAAUUACUGGGCGUAAAGCGCGCGUAGGCGGACCAGAAAGUUGGGGGUGAAAUCCCGGGGCUCAACCCCGGAACGGCCUCCAAAACUCCUGGUCUUGAGUUCGAGAGAGGUGAGUGGAAUUCCGAGUGUAGAGGUGAAAUUCGUAGAUAUUCGGAGGAACACCAGUGGCGAAGGCGGCUCACUGGCUCGAUACUGACGCUGAGGUGCGAAAGUGUGGGGAGCAAACAGGAUUAGAUACCCCCGUAGUC
rnacentral:rRNA from 1 species